GCAGAGCCAGCUCCGGAGCGCUACGGCGCGCGUGGCGGCACACCUGCUCCCCGAGGCUGAUCGUUAACAGCCGUGGGCAGGGGUUGGGCCAGGGUACAGCUGUCAGGACCUCACUGGACAGGACCGGAGAGGACCCCGCGUAACCGCGGAACAGACACUCCCGGCAGCGGCCGCCGCCGCGGCACUGCUACGGGACGAGCCGGAGCGCUUGGCCAUGGCGGCCCGAUCCGCACUGGCGCUGCUGCUGCUGCUGCCAGUCCUGCUCCUGCCGGUGCAGAGCCGCUCAGAGCCCGAGACCACCGCGCCCACCCCUACCCCAAUCCCGGGUGGCAACUCGUCAGUGAGCAGGCCCCUGCCCAGCAUCGAGCUCCACGCCUGCGGCCCAUACCCCAAACCAGGCCUGCUCAUCCUGCUGGCCCCGCUGGCCCUGUGGCCCAUUCUCCUGUAGGGACGCCCAGCCAGCCACCUCUAAGUCGCCGCUGGGACUGGCCUGCCCCAUUGAGCAACAGAGACGCUUGACAGCCGCCCGCCUCCAUUCCUUGACUUCACCCAGAAAUGGGUCCAGAAAACUGAAUCCCACCAGCACUGGUUUGGAGCAACCGGACACCGAGGUUUCACCUCCAGGGAUUCCAUGAAGAGCCUCAAUGGAGAUGCCACAUCCUACUGAGUUAAAGAUGGGCUGAGGAACUUGGGUACCCACAAGUCUGCCUUGGGAAUCAAAAGAAAAUAUUUACCUUUAGUUUGGUUCAUUAAAUGCAUGAAGUCAAAAUAUGACCAGAGACACCCCUUCCUGCCUCACCACCUCUCAGCUGGAACGUCAGGCUGGAGACAUGACCCAAGGAGCCAAGCCCGAGAAGGAAACGUGCACCCUGAAACAGCGGGAUGCAGAACCCUGAAACAGCGGGAUGCAGAACCCUGAAACAGCAGGAUGCAGAACCCUGAAACAGCGGGAUGGAGAGACAGAAGCCUCGGGAAACGUGGACGACAAUGAGAACAAUAAUAAGGAAAAAGUUAACUUUUGACUAAAGCCGAAUUCCUGAUUCUAAGAUUUAAAGGUCACCUACCAGGAUUAAGAUUUGGUCCUCACAACUGUUACCUGAAGUUGUAAUGCAGUAGAGAGAAUGAGAAGAGAGAGAGGUCAGAAAGUCACCCAGUAAACAAAAGGACCACAGAUUUUUCUCCAUCCUCAACAGAGAUUCCAGUUGAUGAAGAAGGCUGCCAUGCAGGCUCAGGGCAAGGAAAGGGAAUGUGCUGCUAGCACUGGACCUCAGCUCCGGGCAAGGCUGCACCUUCUGAACCGACGGCCCAGGAGCGAAGUGACCCAUACUUCCUCCAAAGCAUCACUCUCCAGACAUGGUAAUCCAGGCCCAGAAGCAAAGGUCAGUCCCACUGUGCCUGUCACACACUCUGCUCCUCUACACCCUCCUCUAGGAAAUGAAAGAGGAAGGAUGUUGAUCUCUAGGGUCUUUUAAAUUGUUCCAAAUAAAUAAAAUAGAAUUAUUUUCUCUUACUAAAAAUAAAACACUGAUUUUCAUAUUAAAGACAAAUUAAUUUUGCAAAGGAUUAAAAAAGCAGAAAUCCAAAUCAGUUUAGCAGAAAGAUGAACAGAUGGAUUUCUGAGGUCCACUGGCCUGCAUCCAAAUUUCGCAGCCUAGCCCACGGUUAAACUCGAUCUGGAGUCUUCCAGCUCCUCCUCCUACAGGGAAACCCCCACUCUCCCUGGACUGUGGUCCACAGGAGAACAAGGAGCUCUACUCCACAGGACACCAGAGCAUGA
rnacentral:lncRNA from 1 species